GCUGCCGAGGGGUGCUGCAGCGGACGCCGUCCGCCACGCUCGGCCUGCGAUUCCGUCGCAAGGGCGCCCUUUCCGC
rnacentral:ncRNA from 2 species